AUUGCCUUAGAAUUACCAGAAGGUGGACUAAAUCAUUACACCGUUUGGUUCAGACAGAGGCAUAUAUUAAUUAAUCCGAAUCAGUUUGAGGGUAAGGAAACUUUAUCUCCUUGUUCCUUUCUCUGUGUUCUUUCUUAGAUUGAUUUGGACAUUC